rnacentral:lncRNA from 1 species
UUAAUUUCUCCAUCCUAUUGACAUACCAAAGUAAUGACAUAAAUAUUACUCCAUAAAAUAUGGCAAAACUGUUUACAUCAAGCAACCAUAAAAUUCCACCUGUGCCAUAAACUGUUUCCAUCAAGCAGCCAUAAACUGUUUAUAUAUGGCAAAACUGUUUACAUCAAGCAGUCAUAAAAUUCCAGCUAAACGGAUAAUUUGAGCAUUUUGAUAUACAAGCCUUCUAUUAGUUAAAGUCAGCAAGUUCAAUUAGCAAGUAACCAAAAAGAAUAAUAUUUAUUUUCCUGUGCUAAUAACUCUUCAAAAGAAAUAUCAGCAAAGUCGGUGUCCAUGUUGUCCUCCAGCUUGCCAGUUUUGGCUUUCAACUCCAUGCAGGUGCCAUUCAAGUAUCUUCAACAUCAGAAAAGGAUUAACUUUUAUUACUUCAGCUGGUGUACUGCAACAAACCAAACAAGGAUAUUGUCAUUAUAAAAGAAAGCAAACGAAUAAAAACUAAAGUCGCCUAUUUUUUUCAACACAGAAGAAGAAUGCAAAUUACAAAGCAAAAUAUUAAGUUUCAUAGACAGCCAAGCAAAUUUCUACAUUCUUCCAUUCUAGAGAGUUUUAGAUACAUAACACACAGAGUUGGGAAAAUUAAGGAAGACUAAACAAAAUAAAACAUCCUAUACUAUCACCAAUGCAUCCAUCAAAGUAGCCCAUCACCUAGAUUAGGUCCAUUAAAGUCGUUUCCUUCCAUUUCCUACAUACUUCCACUAAAUAUAAAUACAUGCAUGUUCAUGAAGGACAUAUUGAUAGUUUCCUGCAUCCUUCCACUAAAUAUAAAAUAUCCACUAAAAGUAAAGCCACCGAUAUUGAAUUUGAAUACUGAAUAUGAGCUCAUCUGUUCCCCAACUCUAUAUAUACUCUGCCUCAACCUCAUUAAUAUAUGAUAAACCAAUUCACUCAUACAACUUUUUUUAAGAAAAAAAAAUUAAACAGAAAGAUGAGAUUUUGGACAGUAAUCAUAUUCAUACUAGCCUCAUCCCUUGCAGUUUCUGCAGAACAAUGUGGGAAACAAGCUGGAAUGCCUUUGUGCCCAAAGAAGCUCACAAACAUAUUUUUAUGAUCUCCCAAGUUCAUAGUAAUCAGAUUUUAAAAUGAAAAAACUUCAUCAGCAAUGUCAAAUCUAUGGCAAUGGAUGUAUAACUAUUUUUACCUUGUCAAAUCUAUGGCAAUGGAUGUAUACUUACAGUUGAGAAUACCAAGUUUAAUAGAAAGGUGAUAAUGUUUAUAUAUUUAUAGUCUUAUAAUGUUGCUAUUUUUAAUGUUUGUGGUUCUGUUGUUGGGCAUGUGAUACUAAAGUUGAAGGACCCUUGUUUUUUUUUUGCGUGUAAUUCUGUAUGAUGUGCCUUCCUCUUUCUUCCAGGCAACAUGAGGAAUCAAAGUAAGCAUGAUAUGCAAGGAACUAAAUCAUUUCUAAAAAAAUGAGGAAUUAAUAGAUAUGUACUGUUUGCUAACUGGAAGCAUCCCUGAUUCUGAAUCGUAGUAUGGAAAUACUCUUAAAUAGAAGACAGACCUGCGGCUGGGCUGGAGCUGGACGGCGGGAGGAGACGACGAGCGAAGGCGGCGGCGGAGAUAAGGGAACUGAGAUUUCUAGGGUUUGGCUUUGGAUGCGACGGGGUUCCGAUUUUAGGGCUUUGACUUCGAUUUUUGUGACAUACUUCGAUUUGGAGAAGUUUUGCUUCGAGAGGGAUGAGUUUUUCUCCGAGACGGGAACUAGUUUGAGAUUUUAGUCGUGAGGAGAUAGAAUUGAAAAACACGGAGCGAGCCUUUUAAAUAGUAAUGCUCUUUAAGGGAGUAAUGUUAUUUAACGAGACUGCUUUUGAACGGGAUCGUAUAUAUAAUCAAGAGUAGAAUUUUUAAAUAGCAGAAUGUCUUAAAUAAUAGAAUUUUAUCAAAAUGAUGUAGUUUUGAUAAAACGCGAUGACAUUUUUAUAAAUACGCGGUGGCAUGGUAUUUACAAAAAUACC